rnacentral:lncRNA from 1 species
UGAAAGUGUGAGCCAAGUUUUUGUUGUUGUUGUUUUGUUUUUGUGUACAUGUCUGCCUGCAGGCCAGAAGAGGGCACCAGAUCUCAUUACAGAUGGUUAUGAACCACUAUGUGGGUGCUGGGAAUUGAACUCAGGACCUCUGGAAGAGCAGCCAGUGCUCUUAACCUCUGAGCCAUUUCUCCAGUUCCCAAGAUAAACCUUUCCUCUCUUUGUCGGCCACCAGAACCUGGAGAAAAGGGACGCCUAAAAGAAGUAACUUGGAGAAUUCUACACACCAAGAUUCACUAGCACCUGUGGACCCAGGAACAGUGUCACUACUGCUGCAGAGCCAGGAGCACCAAGCAC